rnacentral:rRNA from 1 species
CACGUAGGGGGCGAGCGUUGUCCGGAUUUAUUGGGCGUAAAGAGCUCGUAGGCGGUUUCGUUAGUCGGGUGUGAAAACUCCAGGCUCAACCUGGAGACGCCACCCGAUACUGCGAUGACUAGAGUCCGGUAGGGGAGUGUGGAAUUCCUGGUGUAGCGGUGAAAUGCGCAGAUAUCAGGAAGAACACCUAUGGCGAAGGCAGCUCUCUGGGACGGUACUGACGCUGAGACGCGAAAGCGUGGGGAGCGAACAGG